AGCCUCAACCCUCACAUUCUUA
rnacentral:misc_RNA from 1 species